UGGGUAGUUUCCUAGUUGGUUAAGGAGAUUUACUGUAAAUAAAUUGGUACUGCCAUCGCAUGUUCGAAUCAUGCCUACCCAA
rnacentral:tRNA from 1 species